ACUAAAAUUAGUUAAAAAAUAACAUUAGUUUGUCAAAUUAAAAUUACCACUCUUAUGGUACUUUAG
rnacentral:tRNA from 1 species